UGUGUAAAACUCAUCACCCUUCCCAGACCCUGCUGAAUGAUUUUGGCUUGGUUCCUUGUCUGCACUCACACUAGUAGCAAUUAGAUGGAAUGAAUGAGAGAAUGAAGAAUUGAUUAUUACUAGCCACUACCUAUCGAGUUUUUAUUCGUUAAAACCAGUUUGAGGUUUUUAUUGGUAAGUAAACUUUGUAAAAAGACUAUAAAGUAUAGAG
rnacentral:lncRNA from 1 species